UACGGAAGGCAGCAGUGGGGAAUAUUGCACAAUGGGCGCAAGCCUGAUGCAGCCAUGCCGCGUGUAUGAAGAAGGCCUUCGGGUUGUAAAGUACUUUCAGUCGUGAGGAAGGUGUUAAGGUUAAUAACCUUAGCAAUUGACGUUAGCGACAGAAGAAGCACCGGCUAACUCCGUGCCAGCAGCCGCGGUAAUACGGAGGGUGCGAGCGUUAAUCGGAAUUACUGGGCGUAAAGGGCACGCAGGCGGUUAAUUAAGUUGGAUGUGAAAUCCCCGGGCUUAACCUGGGAAUGGCAUUCAAGACUGGUUAGCUAGAGUCUUGUAGAGGGGGUAGAAUUCCAUGUGUAGCGGUGAAAUGCGUAGAGAUGUGGAGGAAUACCGGUGGCGAAGGCGGCCCCUGGACAAAGGCUGACGCUCAUGUGCGAAAGCGUGGGGAGCAAACAGGAUUAGAUA
rnacentral:rRNA from 1 species